UUUGUACAGAAACAAAGACAAGGAAAGGGGAUUUAUUUUCUUGCCUACUACCAGUUUGAUAAAAUGUCUCAAUGAAGAGUAUGAAAGGGGAUUUUUUUUGUACAGAAACAUAGAUUGUGUUUGCAAUUGAAUGAUGAAGAGUAUAAAUGAAUAUAUAAGAAUGCUUGAGAUCAAAGUUUACUUUUAUAUUGAUGGUAGUGUGUUUUACAUUGAAAAAAGAAUUAGCAACUACAGGGAGAUAUAAAAUAUGAUUUGAUAUUUAAUUCACAUUGCCCCGAUGGUGUUGUAGGGAAUAGUGUAAUAGAGACUCUAUGGUGUAUGCAGCUUUCCUGAGUAAUAAUUCAGCAUUUAUUUAUUUAUUUGGUGUGCGAACAACGCAAAGAUAGAGAUUUGUAAUGGAAGGAGCACCUGGUCCACCUGAUAUGUCGUUAGCUAGUUAUCAAAAUAAAUUGUGCCAGAUAUUGUUGUGUUAACGAUCCCAAUUGAUAUGUUCACCUGAUUUCUGAUGGUGGUUAUAUUUAUCGGGUACUGAUCAUUACUACCGGCCUCUGUGUUCAUUGGAUUACUCAUAGUUUGGAAUGCAGGGAGUGAAAGGAAAUAAGGGAUGAGAUGGAAUUUUAUCAGCUGAAACUUUUGCUGAUCACUAUAUGAGUUGAGAAUACCUUUUUUGAGGCUACCAAAGGCAUUAUCAGUUGGGGCAAACAUGGUUAGGCUUUGACUUGAGUCAUUGAGCUUUAUGUAAAUUUCGUUAUCCAGCCUGGUGCUCUUUAGCAGCCUAAUCAAUGUAAUGAAGUGACAGGCCUUCUCAAGGAUUGUAGUGAUGUUAGGUGGACUUGAUGGUGCUGGAGGUGGCAUAAUAGACUUAGCAACUGGAGCUUUUGCUGCUGGCAGUGGAGACUGAGCAACUGGAGCUUGUGCUGUUGGCAGUGGAGACUGAGCAAGUGAAGCAUGUGCCAGAGAUUGAGCAAAAACUAUGGGGCAGCAGAGGAAGAUUAGUAGAAGUAGUAAUGACGAGAGAAACAGAAGCUGCUUCGACAUUUUUGUGGACACUCUUAGUAUAUAUGCAGUAUGGGUGAAUUAAAGAAGAGUUGUAUGCGUUGUGGUGUAACAGAAUUGGGUUUUUAUUGAGUGGGGUGAGAUGGGAAGUGAGUAUGAAGUUAGGUAAGAGGCUGUAUCUUAAGGUGGCAAGAGAGCAUUAAUAUUCUAGCUAGACAGAUUGAUGGUGCUGAAGCAGCUAGCUAUUGCUUUUGCGUGAGCUAUUGUGGAUGUGUUCGAAGAUCAUUUGUUCUGUAUAUAGCAGAUAUUUAUUUUGGAACAAUCUUCUGUUUUGGAAAUCCAGUAUUUUUUGUAUAUAAUAUUUAAUUUAGAUGGAUUAUACUUGAUUUGUGUGGAUUUAUAUGAUAUUUGGAAUAUGAUGUUACAAGUUAAAGUUUUUGAA